rnacentral:rRNA from 1 species
CCCUUAGAUGUUCUGGGCCGCACGCGCGCUACAAUGACAAACUCAGCGAGUCUCCUUUACCGACAGGUAUAGGAAAUCUUUUCAGUGUUUGCCGUGAUGGGGCUAGACCCUUGUAAUUAUUGGUCUCCAACGAGGAAUUCCUAGUAAACGCAGGUCAUUAACCUGCAUUGAUUACGUCCCUGCCCUUUGUACACACCGCCCGUCGCACCUACCGAUUGAAUGGUCCGGUGAAGUCUCCGGACUGAGUACUUUUAGUACUUGGGAAGUUGACUAAACCUUACUAUUUAGAGGAAGGUGAAGUCGUAACA